UCAGAGCUUUCUGCAGGGAUGCAAGAAUCCCCUCCAUGCCUUCUCUGUACAGCAUGGAGCCACGAGGUGGCCAUGAGCUGCCCAUCGCUGUGGACACUGAGCACAGGUAGUUAGGGCUGACAUGCCAGGCGGCCCAUUCCCAGUGCCCUCUGGGAGCCCUGAGGAAAAGCAAUCUUUGCAAUAUCUGACACCACCUGUGCCGGUGGUUAGGAUUUUCCCAAUUUGACAUGAGUCAGGCUCCUUUGGGAAGCAGGAACUGCAAUUGAGAAAAUGUCCCUAAUCCGAUUGGCCUGCAGGCAACUCUGUGGGGGCGUUUUCAUGAUUAAUAGCUGAUGUGGGAGGGCCUGGAUCAAUGCUACCCUCCAACAUGGUCCUGAGUAGUAUAAGAAAGCAAACGAACAAGACACGGAGUAUGCUAGUAAGCAGAAUCCUUCCCUGGCCUGUUUCAGUUCCUGCCUGCAGCUUCCUGCCUUGACUUCCCUGCAUGAUGGACUAUAGCCUGUUGGCUGAACUAAACCCUAUCUUCCUGGAGCUGCUUUUGGUCCUGGUCCUUAUCACACCAAUAGACAGCUGAUACACACCCCCUUCUAGGACAAGCUCCCAUCUCUGGCCUCACUUCCUCCCCUUACCCUCCACUCUCUAUCUGCAUGGUCUUCUUGCUUGGCUUUGUCUCUCCCACAUGCUUCUUGCAUUCUCUGCGUUCAGUGUUCUUUCCUUAAAUAUCUCCGUGGCUCGGUUCCUCCUUUGCUUUAAUUGUAGAGUGUAGAACAUUUACAUUUUGUGUGCUUAUUGAUUGAAAUCUAUGCAUUGCCACCUCCGACGUACUGUUUGUUUUCUAUGCAGACCAUCUGUCCCUGGCUUCUUUUUGGGCACCCUAUUUUCUCCUGCUUUUUUGGAUGCUGCUUACUAGUAUACUCUCUCCUUUGAUAGCCUUCUAUCUCUGAUGGCUCUUUGACCUCUGCAUUUUACGUUCUCCAUGGUUGUUUAGGGUUGAUAAUAGUCCUAAAUUGAUCUCAUUCCAGUGUCAGCUCACAUAGUCACCUCCUCGCUGUCACGCUGCAUGUAGAUGCUUCUUCCUGCCCUGUGAGUCACUGUUGUCACCUAUUUCUCUCCUGUAUAUGCCAUGGGUGCCAAACAUUGCAACCAUCAUUCUUGCUUUAAAUAGUUAGCUACAUUUCUGAGAAAAUUUAAAAAAAAAAAGUGAGACGU
rnacentral:lncRNA from 1 species